rnacentral:rRNA from 1 species
UCCGAAGGGGGCUAGCGUUGUUCGAAAUUACUGGGCGUAAAGCGCACGUAGGCGGAUUUGUUAGUCAGGGGUGAAAUCCCGGGGCUCAACCUCGGAACUGCCUUUGAUACUGCAAGUCUAGAGUCCGGAAGAGGUGAGUGGAAUUCCUAGUGUAGAGGUGAAAUUCGUAGAUAUUAGGAAGAACACCAGUGGCGAAGGCGGCUCACUGGUCCGGUACUGACGCUGAGGUGCGAAAGCGUGGGGAGAAAACAGG